ACACUUAGAAAUUUUGAUGGUGUUUUAGGUUUUAGGUUUUAAAAACUGUCCUGUUGUACUAUCUUCUAGCCCUUCCUUUGUAGCAACGACAGACAGAUGGUGAUCCAAGAGAUACGCAAGAAGAGGACUGUGUGUGUAAUGGCUGAGCUCUAAAAAAGAGAAAUCACUUGGAUGGAAAUGAAGGAGAGGAAAGGGUUGAUGUGGAUGGCUGGAAAGAGGCUCGAUGGUUACCUUGGCAACUGAGCUUCCUUCCUCAUCCCCAUUCCUCCCUAGUUCUUGUUCUUAAAAAGAUUUUCUUUCUAAUGUCCCUUCCCCUCCACAAGGGGGCACAAGAUGUCUUAAAAUACUCUAUUCUGGGCAUCAUUUAACCUAGAUGAAUCCAGACGUGUGCAUAUUUCUAGUAUCAUUUAAUCUGAAGUGGAAAAUCUGAGACGUAGACACAGAGUGAUCAAGAACGUACGGAAUAAUGCCCAAGGGUUCCUAUUGAGCUUUAAGGAUCAGCUAUGUAUUAAGCAGAUACUGUGUGCUGGACACAGUGAGCCAUUUUGAGGGUUAUUAAAAAUAUAUAUAUAUACUCGAGAUAGUGUUGGGUAUAGUCAUAGCAUGAUUUAGUCAAAUCACUUGAUUUUUUAAGUCUAAAUUUGCUAGUUGUUAUGAACUUGACCUAGUUAUUUAAUCUUACUAGCUUUCAAGUUUUUCCCCUCUUAUAAAACAUGCCUCAUUGAAUUGUUAAGUGUAUUAAAUAAGAUGGUGUUUAUAAAGUCCUAUUACAGGCUCUAAUUUUCAACAGGUAUUAUUUUCCUCUCCUUAAACUUACAAGAUUAUUUUCAUUACAACUUACCCAAGAGGAAGACUUAUUUAACACAUUUCAAAUCAUAAACUACAGGAAGUUAUAUGAUUGCCCUACAUCUAAGUCAUCUUUUCUCAGUGUUACCUGAGAAAGAAUGGAGAGGAUGCCCAGAAUUGGCCCAGAAGAAUCCACUUCGAUUCUAGAGAAAGAAGAAGGUAGAGGCAGAAGAGAUUCACUUCCCAGUGCAUGUGUGCUGCAUGUUGGGGGUGUUGCUUGAGAGAGACAAGGAAAUGGCUGUAAAAACUUGGGAAGAGGAAACUGCCCUGGGUCAAGUAGGGUGUCGGGAGGACCAGAUGGAGCUUGAAGCUCUCUCCAUCUCUGUCAAGUCCCCUGGACUGAGAGUAAAAUGCACAUGGCCUUUUAUCCUCCAGAGGAGAUUUCAUUCACCUUGGUCUGGUUGCAAACUCUAGGGUACCAACAAGAAACUCCUCCCACAUCCUCCCACCUGCUAAUGCCUCCAUUUUCCACAUCCCCAAGAUCAUGGCCACCAAACUAACAGAUACCAUCUUUCUUCUACAAGGUGUUUCCCCCUCCCCACCUCCACUCUGAUCUUGCACUACAGCUGCUCAGCCCCUCACAGCUCUGCCCACACAAACCACUAUCCUCCAAUGCCUCAGUCCUAGCCUGCACCCUCUGGCCCCCACAACUCUGCUCUCUCUGAAGUGCUUCCUUGUUCCCUUGGCUGCUCCUCCUCCUGUCCUACCUUUGUGAGGAGCCACAAGGAUAUGCCUGCUGCCUCCACCCAGGCCUAAGGAGUGGGAAGCAUGCUUUGUGAAUGCUGGUCUAGGGCCUGAAACCUGUCCCCUUUGUUUUAGGCUUUUUUUUUUAGCCAAUAUAAAAACAAACCAACACAUAUGUAACAACAAUAGCCAACAAAAUACCAUACUGCCAUUUGAGCAAUCUAGAGAUAGUUACGACUGAUGGAAAUGACUGGCAUGUGAUGAGUUUCCUGGGCCCCAUCCCUGCUGUGGGCACAUCCUUUCCUGGUCUUUGCAAGCUGCCACCAGAGAACCCUCUUCUCCAGUUCCAAGAUCCCCAGUGUAGUGGGAUGAAGAGUGUUCCCCCAGAAUUCGUGCCCACUCAGAAACUCAGAAUGUGACCUUAUUUGGAAAUAGAGACUUAGCAGGUGUAAUUGGUUAAGAUUUCUCAAUAAAAUUGUUCUGGAUUUAGGAUGGGUCCUAAAUCCAGUGACCUUGCCUUGAAAAGAGAAAGGAGAGGGGAGCUUAAAUGCAGAGACGCAGGGAAAAAUGCCAUGUGAAUACAGAGGCAGAGAUUGCUGUGAUGCUAGCACAAGCCAAGGAGUGCCAGAAGCCAUCAGAAGUGAGAAGAAGCAAGAAAGGAUUCUCCCCCAGAACUUUCAUAGAGGCUGACCUGCUGAAAUCUUGAUGUUGUAUCUUUGGCCUCCAGAACUGUGAGAGAAUAAGUUUUUAUUGUUUUAAACCCACCAGUGGUACUUUGUUAUAGCAGCCUGGGGAAGCAAAGACACCAAAGCAUUAAGGUGUCUUCAGUGUGUUAGCAUGGGCCCUGCCCGGAGUUUGGGAGAAGCUGCUCUAUGAUCACCCAGACACCAGGAGCAAUCCCACCAUCCUGGCCACUACUUGGGAAAAGUUUCUGGAAUUGCCAUCUUCACAACAGAACAUGCCAUGGUUUCACCACUCAUAAGUAAUUUGAUCUGUAAUCUUCAGUUUCCACAUCUAUAACAUAGGGAAAAUAAUACCUGCUUCUGGGAUCAUGGUAUAGAUGCAGACAGCACAGGUAGCAGUGUCCAGCCCAACGCCUGAAGCAAGCAGGCUCUCAACAAAGGGCUCCCUCUUCUUUCCCACCCUUUCUCUGCUUUCGGACUUCGCUUCUCUUCCCUGACAGUCUGCCUCAACUAAUUUUGAUAUGGCCUCUCUCAGCCCCGCUCACUGUUACAGGCCCCCUUUUCUUUAAUCCCAUUCAUGUAGUGUUUUACCACAAUGCAUUCAGCCUGUAUGCAGAAUUUACCUUGUCAGGAUAACUGUCUUUGCCCAAGUAGGAGCAGUUAACACCUUGUGUUUGGAGUGAUUGAGUUUCCAUUCAUCAAACGCAGAAGCCCAUUGGAAGGGCUACUCUGAACAUAGCACUUCGGCCCCCACUGGGCCCUAUGUCCCAUUGCUCCUGACUUGGUGUGUCUUGCUCCUGGGAAAUCACUCAUCCCCAGGCUUUACAUAUCAGUUGUCUCAACUCUGCUUUCUCUAGUAUUUCAACCUAGACGUGCAGAGUAGCACUCAAUUUUAAGCCCAAAUCCUGAAACAAGAUAAGCGGGAGGUGUUAAGACUAUACACGAAUAAAACUAAAGGUGUAACAUGUGACACUUUAAUCUGGAAUUGGGAAAUGACUAGAUAUUGUUUUUUUUUUUUUUUUUUUGGCGGGGGGGACGAAG